CGUAAAACUGGCAAGGGAUAUUUUAACUUUUCAGAAGGUUUACAUACAUCUCGAAGGGACAGAAAGAAUUUUCAAAUUUUCUAAAGGAAAUGCUCUAAGAAAACGCAGGGUGGGGCGUCUCCAUCUUGGAUUUGCAUUUACUCUUAUAACACCUAGAGGAAAGGUGUCCUGGCCAGAGGGAAGAGCCGGCGCAAAGGCCCCGAGGUGGGUACCGUGGAUUCACGUGAGUGGAGGGUCCGGCAGAGGGACAGAGAGCGGAGAGGUGGAGGGGGCCUCCUAGCCAUUGAGAAGAAGUCGGCUUUUGGCCCCAGUGAGGUGAGGCCGAGGGAGAAGUCUGCGGCGAGGACGGGAGCGGGUGGAGGGCGGACGCGGUGAGAGCGGGUGGACGCUGCUGCGAUAGCCCAGCGAGAGGCCGGCGGCAGCCUGGAGGUGGCGAGGCUGCUUGGGUUGGGCAGAUAUUCCAGAGGCAGGGCCCACGGGAUCUCCCGGUGGAGCAGGCUAGCAGCGGAAGAGGAAUAGGAGCUGGGCAUAACCUCGGCCUUUGAUCUGAGCACCUGGGAGCAUGGCCCUGAGGCCGCCCGCGAUGGGGAAGGGAACAGGGAGCGCCCUGGGGUGGGGCGCCCAGGAAUUCUGUCCGGGGCACGGUCGGCUGCGUUUUCGUGAGGAGGCCAGAAGAGCUGUCGCGGCGGCAAGACCCCAGCGUGGGCCCCGUGGGCAUCCCGCCGAGGUGCUGGGUGAGGCCACCGGGGAGGGAGGACGGCCAAGUUCCGGGCCACCAAGGAUGAGCAGCCGGAGGUGGGGACGGGCCUUGACGAGAUGAGCUCUGGGGGAGAAGCCUGACCCGAGAGGGUCGGGGGAGGGAGUGGACAGGGAGGGCGCGCAGACACCUCCGGGGUUAGCUGGGGAGGAACAAAGAAAUGGUGGUGCCUCGGAGGUGAUGCGCGAUCAGAGGGUUUUGGGGUUGGGGUUUCUAGUUUGCAGGAAUGACACGUGUACAAGCCGGUGGGCGGCCGCUGCGAACCGGGUUCUGCGGUGAGCGGGGCGCCGGGGCUCGGCCUGGGGCCACCUCCGCCUGGGGACGUCGUGGAGAAGCCGGGCUCCAGGGCCCCAGCCCCGGCCGCCAGGCGCCAUCGCAGGCGGGGCAGGGAGCCGGGGGUCCCCGGCAGCGGCGCGCGGGCGUGGGCGGCCGCACCCCCUCCGGCCCGGGCCGCACGGCCGCCCGCACUUGCCCUCUGGCGGCGGAAGCGCGCAGCGCGUGUCGAGCAGGGAACCUGGACCCGUUCAGCUUCCAUUUCAGCGUGCUGCUGUCUGGGUCUCCUUGGGCACCGCGACGAACAGCGCGAGGACAGGACGCAGCAGACCGUGGGGCGCGUCGGGCAGCGGUGCGCGCCGUGCGGUGGGGACCCCGGGGAGCCGGGGCGCGAUGAGGCGGCGGGCCCCGGGCCCGGGCGUGGGUGUGCGGGGAGCGCAGGGCGCUCAUUCCCGGAGGCGCGAGGAAGGAAAACGGGCUGCGAGGUUCCCAGUGCAAGUGUCUUUUGCUGCUGACCGACCUCAGACCCGGCCCUCCUGGAGAUCUCCUCUCCCUCGGGAUCCCUGUGGCCUCCUACCCAGUUCCCACGUAGCCUGACCCACCAGGACCAGGUUGGGAGCUUUAUGAAUUUUAACACGUUAGGAUAUCCGUCACUACAACAGGAUACAAAAUGUUUCCAUCGCCCCAAAAAACUCCCUCCUGCUGGGGCUUUAUAGGCACAGCCCCCCGCCUGAGCCCCGGCAGCCACCGCUCUGCCCUCCGUCACCACAGCUCUACCUUUUGGAAUGUCGUACAAAUGGAACCAGACUGUGCGACCUUGGGGACCAGCUUCUUUCACUCAGCGCGAUGUCUUCGAGAUUCGUCUGGGUGGUUGUGUGAUCAAUAGUUUGUGUCUUUCCGCAACUCCCCAGUGUUUCCUGGUGUAGAUGACCACAGUCUGUCUGCCCAUUCAUCCAUGAAAACAUAUUUGGGUUGUUUCCAGCUCUUACAAAUAAAGCUGCUGCCAGUAUUCACUACAA